UCGUUUCAGUACGAUCCUGUUAGUUACUCCCAGAAUUUCGACGACGGUUGUCACCUUCACGAACAGCGACGCCUUCCCCUGUUCUUCCAGGAUCUCAGUGCUGGUCCAGUACUGGAUCGAUUGGAAUCUGCGAAAAAGCAUGAAUAGGUUGUUCAUCCAAGUCACAUCACAUAGCGCUGUUAGUCCUACUGUGAGUGGCUGCUGAAAACAGCAAGUGCAGGUCAGGUCUACAUUAUCCCGAGUUUGAAAUUCCGAUUUCCACUUUCCCAGAAAGGAGAGAAAGAAGAUGCUCCGAUGAAAGGGAUUGGAGAUUAAGGAUUAUUAUCAUUAUUAUUAUAAUUAAUCGCCAUUAACGACGAAGAAUGGCGGUAGAAAUGAAUCAAAUCCUCUCUCUCUCUCUCUCUCACAGAACACACACACAGUGUGAAGAAGAAGGAAGGUCUCAGUCUCAGCAAUUCCCUGGUGAAUAAUAUUGGUGAUGCGUGUUGAAUGAUGACGCUCUGGUUUUUCUUUUCUACCCAAGUGAAUCAAAUCAAAGUGUGGAUAUUGUGAGAUUAGUGAAAUGAUUUCCCAAAUUGAUGAAA